UACGGAGGGUGCAAGCGUUGCUCGGAAUUAUUGGGCGUAAAGGGUAGGUAGGCGGUCUCAUUUGUCUGAGGUGAAAGCCUUGGGCUUAACCCAAGAAGUGCCUCAGAAACGGUGAGACUAGAGUCCUAGAGAGGGUCGUGGAAUUCCCGGUGUAGCGGUGAAAUGCGUAGAGAUCGGGAGGAACACCGGUGGCGAAGGCGGUUCUCUGGGCCUUACCUGACGCUGAGGAGCGAAAGCGUGGGGAGCGAACAGG
rnacentral:rRNA from 1 species